rnacentral:tRNA from 1 species
GAGGGUAUGGCUCAGUGAUAGAGUGUUGCUUAGCACGCACGAGGUCCUGGGUUCGAUCCCCAGUACCUCCA